UGCCCCAUGGCUGAGUUGGUUACAGCGUCCGACUGUUAUUAAGCGCCCGUUCGCGUGGCAAUCGGAAGGUCGUGAGUUCGAGCCUCACUGGGGCAG
rfam:Coprinopsis cinerea okayama7#130 chromosome 10 cont3.10, whole genome shotgun sequence.